GGAAUCGUAACAAGGUCUCCGUAGGUGAACCUGCGGAGGGAUCAUUACCGAGCUCAUGCCCUUACGGGUAGAUCUCCCACCCUGUGUUAUUAUUACCUUUGUUGCUUUGGCGGGCCGCCAGGCUCCGGUCAGGCUAUCGGCUUCGGCUGGUAAGCGCCCGCCAGAGGACCCUAUAUCCUGAUUAUUAGUGUCGUCUGAGUACUAUAUAAUAGUUAAAACUUUCAACAACGGAUCUCUUGGUUCUG
rnacentral:misc_RNA from 1 species